UUAAACUCCGGCAUGCCUUACACAUGCAAGUCGAACGGCAGCACGGGGGCAACCCUGGUGGCGAGUGGCGAACGGGUGAGUAAUACAUCGGAACGUGUCCUGUAGUGGGGGAUAGCCCGGCGAAAGCCGGAUUAAUACCGCAUACGCUCUACGGAGGAAAGGGGGGGAUCUUAGGACCUCUCGCUACAGGGGCGGCCGAUGGCAGAUUAGCUAGUUGGUGGGGUAAAGGCCUACCAAGGCGACGAUCUGUAGCUGGUCUGAGAGGACGACCAGCCACACUGGGACUGAGACACGGCCCAGACUCCUACGGGAGGCAGCAGUGGGGAAUUUUGGACAAUGGGGGCAACCCUGAUCCAGCAAUGCCGCGUGUGUGAAGAAGGCCUUCGGGUUGUAAAGCACUUUUGUCCGGAAAGAAAUCCUGUGGGCUAAUACCCUGUGGGGAUGACGGUACCGGAAGAAUAAGCACCGGCUAACUACGUGCCAGCAGCCGCGGUAAUACGUAGGGUGCAAGCGUUAAUCGGAAUUACUGGGCGUAAAGCGUGCGCAGGCGGUUCGCUAAGACAGAUGUGAAAUCCCCGGGCUUAACCUGGGAACUGCAUUUGUGACUGGCGGGCUAGAGUAUGGCAGAAGGGGGUAGAAUUCCACGUGUAAGCAGUGAAAUGCCUUAG
rnacentral:rRNA from 1 species